UUGAAUUAAGAGAGGAAGAAAAGCGUGGUAAAAAAUUAUGUUACGAUACAUCUGCACUGUCUUAACUAUUCAUGCUAAUUCAUGUCAAUUGAACACUAGCAACCGUUUGUGAUUUUUAAACUUUGAGGUAUGAACUCUAACUUUUUUGGACAAAGAUAAUUAUGUGCCUUGUAUCCCAAAUAUUGAAGUGUGGGCCUUGUAUGCCAUGAAGUGUAAUCAGUAAAUGGGAGAAUGCAUCCUUUUUUCUUUCAACAAAUGUUACUGUUCUUCACAAUUCUUGGGUGUGGUUAAUCUACAUGUCAAGUUUACGGUCUCACAGCAUCACACUAAAUUUGAACCGUUAGGUUCACUUUUGUUCCUGCUAAAUCUGAGACAUCAAUGUAACCAUUAGGUACAUCCAUUUUUAUAUAGGAAUCCCUGUUAGAGUACAUAUCAACUUGAUUUUUGUUAUAAUUGAUGAAUAUAAAAUGAUGUGUCCAUCCUUUGUUUUAGUAUGACAUUGACCUUUCUAUGCCUGGAUGAUAAAAUGUAACAUUUAUAGAACAUUUUUUUAGGGAGCUGGCUGUUAUAACUUAUGAAUAUGAAAUGAUCUAGCAUGCUUUUUUAGCAUGUGUUGCCCACAUUUUCAUUGUACCUUAAUAUAGUAGUGGUGUCGGUCAGAUUAUUACGUGGAAAAUCAACUACUCCCUCUCUUCACUUUUGUAAUACGUUUAAGACAGCUAAAAUUACUUGGGUCCAUACAACUUCCUAGAUUCAUUUGGGAGCUGGUUGUCAUAACUUAUUAUAAUUUUGUAUGUGUUUUGAUUAUAUGCAGGUUUGGUUGUUACUGGAGAUCCAUGUUUUUAGCAGGAAUUACUUGGGUCUGUAGAACUUCCUGAAAGCGCGCGGUGGUGUUUUGUUGGAGAUUAAAAUCAGCCAGUAGGACACUUUGUCAUGGAAGUCAUGCCACUCGAAAAUAGUAUGCUUAUAGGGCUUCGUAGAUAUACUAGUCUUUUGAUAUUAAGCAUUCUUUUUUGAAAUGAGACUAGAUUGUUGGAACUUUGUAUUGUCAUGUACAUGCUAUUUUUUGAAUGAAUAUGAUUUGGUUGUCAUGUUGUAAAUUGGGUUGCAUUGAGAAAAUAGCUUGUAUUGAAAAGGGGGCCAAUGGG
rnacentral:lncRNA from 1 species